UACAGAGGGUGCAAGCGUUGUUCGGAAUUAUUGGGCGUAAAGGGCGCGUAGGCGGUGCGGUAAGUCUGUAGUGAAAUCUCUGGGCUCAACUCAGAGUCUGCUGCAGAAACUGCCGUGCUUGAGUGUGGGAGAGGUGAGUGGAAUUCCCGGUGUAGCGGUGAAAUGCGUAGAUAUCAGGAGGAACACCGGUGGCGAAGGCGGCUCUCUGGACCGCAACUGACGCUGAGGCGCGAAAGCUAGGGGAGCAAACAGG
rnacentral:rRNA from 1 species